UGUCAGGCGUUAGAGAGAAAUUGAUUGCCCUAGUUUGUGUAGAGGCGCGACGAUUCUUCGAGCUACUCCCGAUGAAGACCGUCACCGGAAGAGUUGUCAGCGCCGAACCAAUCUCCCUAUCUAAGGCGGCUACGAUUCUCUCGAGAUUCGUUACCUCUGAGAACGGCGCCUCUCAAGAUGUUAGCGCGUACCUUCGACGCGCCGCCGCUGCCUUCACCGAGUCAAAGAGCUUCCACAAAGAGAUUAGCUCGUCUUCACUAAAGGAGACGAAGACGAGAUCCAACGCAAGGAAUGAGCGGAAUCAGACUGUCGAAUUCGAGGAGCCGGGUCGAGCUAAGGGGAAUGAUGAUUCGGUGGAAAACGGAGGGGAGAUUCGUUUUCGGAAAAGUGAAGCUGUGAGCGAAGAGGAAUCGAUUAAGGAGGGCAUGAAGAAGAAGAGCAAGAAGAACAAAGAAGAAGAUGUUGUUGACGAGAAGGUGAAGGAGAAUUUAGAAGACGAGCAAAGGAAUGAAGAGAAAAAGGAGAGAAAGAAGAACAAGAAGAGCAAGAAGGAUAAAGAAGAAGACGUUAUUGACAAGAAGGUGAAUAAGAAGAAGAGGAAGAGUGAUGGAGAGAUGGGUUCGGAUGAGAAGAAGAGCAAGAAAAAGAAGAAAUCGAAGGAGAUUGAUGGUUAAAGUUGGUUCAUUUUGAGAUUUUAGCUGAAGAUUGGAGACAAUUUUGUAGUGGAGUUUAAUGGAUUUUUCACAAGUUUUUGGGAAUUGACCUCAUGUCAAACUGAUAAAUGGCCGGGGAAAAAAACCAAGAAAAAAAUGCGUGAAGCUUGGAAGAAUGAAGAGACAAGAAACAAACAAAAAAAAAAGGAAAAGGAAUUUGAAUCAUGAAGCAAGAAUUUUCAGCAUUUUGGCAAGUCUGCAGGAGGAGGAAGAAGUUUCUGAUUAGGCUUAUCUCCAUCAAGAACAAGCCAAGCCAUCCUCAGACCCCAACUGGAAUCGGAUAGCAGCCCAUCCACCAGAUGGCACACCGACUGUGUUCCUCUCUAUGGGAUCAACAAGAUUGAAGUUUUUGGGAUCCUUGUUCGGGUCGAAGUUCCCAAAUCCUUGGCCAACGACGAAGAAGUUGAACCCAUGAAGGUGAAGAGGAUGGCUCUCUGCACCAA